rnacentral:rRNA from 1 species
GAUGAACGCUGGCGGCGUGCCUAAUACAUGCAAGUCGAGCGAACGGACGAGAAGCUUGCUUCUCUGAUGUUAGCGGCGGACGGGUGAGUAACACGUGGAUAACCUACCUAUAAGACUGGGAUAACUUCGGGAAACCUUAGCUAAUACCGGAUAAUAUUUUGAACCGCAUGGUUCAAAAGUGAAAGACGGUCUUGCUGUCACUUAUAGAUGGAUCCGCGCUGCAUUAGCUAGUUGGUAAGGUAACGGCUUACCAAGGCAACGAUGCAUAGCCGACCUGAGAGGGUGAUCGGCCACACUGGAACUGAGACACGGUCCAGACUCCUACGGGAGGCAGCAGUAGGGAAUCUUCCGCAGUGGGCGAAAGCCUGACGGAGCAACGCCGCGUGAGUGAUGAAGGUCUUCGGAUCGUAAAACUCUGUUAUUAGGGAAGAACAUAUGUGUAAGUAACUGUGCACAUCUUGACGGUACCUAAUCAGAAAGCCACGGCUAACUACGUG